rnacentral:rRNA from 1 species
AUUGAACGCUGGCGGCAGGCCUAACACAUGCAAGUCGAGCGAGUGGCGGACGGGUGAGUAAUGUCUGGGGACCUGCCUGAUGGAGGGGGCUAACUACUGGAAACGGUAGCUAAUACCGCAUACCAUCGGAUGUGCCCAGAUGGGAUUAGCUAGUAGGUGGGGUAACGGCGCACCUAGGCGACGAUCCCUAGCUGGGCUGAGAGGAUGAUCAGCCACACUGGGACUGAGACACGGUCCAGACUCCUACGGGAGGCAGCAGUGGGGAAUAUUGCACAAUGGGCGCAAGCCUGAUGCAGCCAUGCCGCGUGUAUGAAGAAGGCCUUCGGGUUGUAAAGUACUUUCAGUGGGGAGGCGUUACCCACAGAAGAAGCACCGGCUAACUCCGUGCCAGCAGCCGCGGUAAUUC